GCCUUCGUGGUGUAGUGGUCAGCACGCUCGGCGCGUAUUCGAGAGGUCCGUGGUUCGAGUCCCGGCAAGGGCA
rfam:Stegodyphus mimosarum contig1569, whole genome shotgun sequence.